UGGGGAAUAUUGCACAAUGGGCGCAAGCCUGAUGCAGCCAUGCCGCGUGUGUGAAGAAGGCCUUCGGGUUGUAAAGCACUUUCAGCGGGGAGGAAGGCGGUGAGGUUAAUAACCUCAUCGAUUGACGUUACCCGCAGAAGAAGCACCGGCUAACUCCGUGCCAGCAGCCGCGGUAAUACGGAGGGUGCAAGCGUUAAUCGGAAUUACUGGGCGUAAAGCGCACGCAGGCGGUCUGUCAAGUCGGAUGUGAAAUCCCCGGGCUCAACCUGGGAACUGCAUUCGAAACGGGCAGGCUAGAGUCUUGUAGAGGGGGGUAGAAUUCCAGGUGUAGCGGUGAAAUGCGUAGAGAUCUGGAGGAAUACCGGUGGCGAAGGCGGCCCCCUGGACAAAGACUGACGCUCAGGUGCGAAAGCGUGGGGAGCAAACAGG
rnacentral:rRNA from 1 species